rnacentral:lncRNA from 1 species
AUGUCUUGUCUUCCCGCAGUAGGUGCUGUAGUCACUGCUCCUGCUCUUCUGGAAGCUGCAGGUUUCACCUCAGCUGGAAUAGCUGCAGGCUCCUACGCUGCAGGCAUGCUGCAGCUGCUAAUGGAGGUGUGGCAGCUGGAAGUGUGGUGGCUAUUUUGCAGUCAGCAGCUGCAGCUGGUCUGUCAGCUACUGCUGGUGCUGCUGUGGCUGGUGCUGGAGCAGCAGUGGGAUGGUUGGCGAGUUUCAUCAGCUGAAAAUCAUGAACAAUUUAUAUAUUUGCUUUAUGCCGAAACUGGAAAACUUGUUAUUCUGCUCAAGCUUGUUUUCAUCAUUGUGUUGUGUUUUCAUUAUGUUCAUUAUGAUGCAUUUAUAUUAAAAAUAAGUAUUAUGGUGCACAGCUUUAAACCUCAUGUGUAUCAUUAGUACAGCUAACUGUGUUAGCUGUACUAAUGAUACACAAUGUUAUUACAAUGUCCUUGUAAUACACGGUUACAAGGACAAGACAUGGUUUUGUGUACAAGUUUUUAAAGAUGGACGACUGAUAGUCAGGUUUAAGGGUGCAGUCAGAACUGAACACAACUGGCAUCUCUUUAGUUUUUCUCUCUUUUGGUUUACAGUUAAAAGGAAGACUGGCUAUUUUAAUGUGACCUCACAGAUUAUCUUCAUCAUAUUACAUGAUUCCUGGGAGACCAAGAUAAUGAAAAAAAAAUAUUAGUUGCUGCUACUGCUAACCCUCAACAUCCAAGUAGAUGCACCGAUAGUAUCAAUUUUAAAAUCCUACUUCACCUUGUUCUUGAGUUAUCAGGACACAUGGGUGUCUGUCAAUGACCUUGACAAAGUUGAAGGCAGGCUGCUGUCCCUGCUUGAAUGCUUGAGUCCUGAAGACAUGGUAAUGGUGACGGGGAUCUCUAGUUCAGACUAAAGGAGAAAAAAAAUGUUCCUGCCAUUUUAAGACUCCCACAAUUUAAUAAAGAUAUUCUUUUGAAUAUUUACUUAUAUAUUGCAUAUUUAUUUGACUUAUAUUUGCAUAAGUAAUUUGUUAACAAUUUUUCUUAUCUGGCCUCUGCACUCAUACAGUAUGUAUCUUAUCUCACUAAUUUUUUGUACUUCUUGCUUGUUGGUAAGGUGCUUUUAAUGCAUUGUCUGUACUUGUGUGGGGACUUGUUAUAAAUCAGUUUUCAACCUUAAAUCUUUCUCUGCCUAUAAGACCUUAAUGAAAAUGACUGAAUUUUCCUUGUAUUCAGUGAGCAGUGAGUUACCAAUACUGCCAUUUAAUUUUGUCUUCUGCUCUUGUGUCUGGUGUGAUAACUCUUGUAUAAUUUGCAGAGUGUGGCAUGGUGGAAAAGAACUGAGAGAAUCCUCCACUAA